rnacentral:rRNA from 1 species
ACUCCUACGGGAGGCAGCAGUAGGGAAUCUUCCACAAUGGACGAAAGUCUGAUGGAGCAACGCCGCGUGAGUGAUGAAGGGUUUCGGCUCGUAAAACUCUGUUGUUGGAGAAGAACAGGUGUCAGAGUAACUGUUGACAUCUUGACGGUAUCCAACCAGAAAGCCACGGCUAACUACGUGCCAGCAGCCGCGGUAAUACGUAGGUGGCAAGCGUUGUCCGGAUUUAUUGGGCGUAAAGCGAGCGCAGGCGGUUUCUUAGGUCUGAUGUGAAAGCCUUCGGCUUAACCGGAGAAGUGCAUCGGAAACCAGGAGACUUGAGUGCAGAAGAGGACAGUGGAACUCCAUGUGUAGCGGUGAAAUGCGUAGAUAUAUGGAAGAACACCAGUGGCGAAGGCGGAUGUCUGGUCUGUAACUGACGCUGAGGCUCGAAAGCAUGGGUAGCGAACAGGAUUAGAUACCCUGGUAGUC